rnacentral:rRNA from 1 species
AUUGAACGCUGGCGGCAGGCUUAACACAUGCAAGUCGAGCGAGCGGCGGACGGGUGAGUAAUGUCUGGGAAACUGCCUGAUGGCGGGGGAUAACUACUGGAAACGGUAGCUAAUACCGCCUACCAUAAGAUGUGCCCAGAUGGGCUUAGCUAGUAGGGGGGGUAAUGGCUCACCUAGUCGACGAUCCCUAGCUGGUCUGAGAGGAUGACCAGCCACACGUGAACUGAGACACGGUCCAGACUCCUACGGGAGGCAGCAGGGGUGCAUAUUGCACAAUGGGCGCAAGCCUGAUGCAGCCGUGCCGAGUGUGUGAAGAGGGCCUUCGGGGUGUAAAUCACUUUCAGCGAGGAGGCGUUACUCGCAGAAGAAGCACCGGCUAACUCCGGGCCAGCAGCCGCGGUAAUUC